AUAUGAUAAUCAGCUGAUUCCAUGACAACCAUUGAAAAAGAAGGGCUGAAAACAAAAGCUGCUGCUGGAGUGGGGAUCAGGGCUGCAUUCAGUGUGUCUGUAAGAAGUACUGCAGAGCCUCGCUCCUCUGAAAGGGGCAGAGAAGGAGUAGCAGAGCUCUGUCAUCCCUAGAAAUCUGACCACCUGACAAUAUGGGAAGUUGACUGAUUUGGUUCAUAAAAGAUAAGAAACUGAGGCCCAGAGAGCGAAUAUGGUCUGGCCAAGUGAAAUACUAAUAAAUGGCUGAGCUAAGCUGAGAAUCUACAUUUCUUCAUCCUUCCUCCAGAAGGGGACAAAGGGAGAAAGAUGAAGAAACAGAGAUGGAGACAGAAAGAAAGAAAGAAGAGGGAAAGAGAAGAGAAAGACUGAGAAGCAGAGAAAAAGGAUAACGCCAUAGAAGAAAAAAGCCACCCAUUCAUUCAAAGAAGGAAAAAAAAAGAAUAUGGGCAAUGUUCUAAUAAUUUUUAUCUUUAUUCACUUCAUACACCUGUAAAAUCUUUACUGAAAAUCUUGGGAAUCUAUGUGUUCUCCUGAGGGUUCUGAUAUUUCCCAUUUCCUUCUUGUUAUUGUUUUUUCAUGGCAUUUCAAUACUUUUAUUGAUCUCAAUUCUUGGAGGUAGAGCUGGGCAUAAAUAAUGAUAGACUCAGGACUGAAAAAUAAAGAUAGUGUUAGGACAUCUCUUACCAAAGGGUUUGCAUUUCAACCUAGUCAUUUGCCAAUUCUACUGUGAAUGCCCAUCAGUGUCCAUCCAAUUCUAGUAGCACUCAGCUAAAAUCCUGUUGAUAGGUGAGCAUGGAGCAUGGGAUCUGGAAUCUAGAUUCUGCAGUAGACCCUUGCUAGCUGUGAGAUCCAGGACAAGCCAUAACAUCUCUUUGUCUCAAUUCCUUCAUCUGUAAAACGGUCAUAAUAGCAUCUACCUCAUAGAGUUAAAUUGAAGAUCAUCUGAGUUAAAAGCACAUUGCAAGUCUUAAAAUGCUAAAGAAAUAUUUGUGGUGGUGGUGGGCGGUUUCAGUCAUGUCUGACUCUUUGUCUCCCUUUUGGGGUUUUCUUGAUUUUGAGUAAUUUGCCAUUUCCUUCACCAGCUUAUUUAAUAGAUGAGAAAACUGAAGCAAACAGGAUUAAGUGACUUGUCUAGGGUCACACAUCUAUUUUAAAAAAAAGUCUGAUCCUGGAUUUGAACUUUGGUUUUCCUGAUAGCAGACCUAAAACUCUAUCCACUCCACCACCAAGCUGUGCCAUAUAAAUGCUACCUACUAUUAGUAGUAGUAUCAUAGGUUCUUAGUCACGAGGGAGAUCAGAGAUCACCAGAUCACAAAGUCAGAGGAUUUCAGAGUUGGAAGGGACAUCAGAAAUAAUCUAGUCUAAACCAUGCCUGCACAGAAAUCCUUUCUAUAAUAUUAACAUCAUGGGGUCACCUCAAUGCCUCUUGAGGGAGUCAGUAUGCUUUUGGACAACCCUGGGCAGCUGGUCCUGGAGUCAAAAACUGAGUUUAGAUGCAGCUUCAGACAUUUACUGCUAGUUUGACAAUGUGAAAGUCACUAAACCUUUUUUGCCUCAGAUUCCUCAUCUGCAAAAUGAGCUAGAGAAGAAAGGAUAAACCACUCCAAUAUCUUUGCUAAGAAAACCACAAAUAGGGUCACAAAAAGUCAAACAUGACUGAAAAACAAUUUGGGGCAGCUAGGUGGCAGAGUGGAUAAGCGCUGGGUCUGGACUCAAUAAAAUUGGAGUUCAAAUUUGGUCUCAGAAACUUACUAGCUGUUCAACCUUGGGCAAAUCAUUUAAUCCUGUUUGCCUCAGUUUCCAUAUCUGUAAAAUGACCUGGAGUAGGAAAUGGCAAACCAUUCCAGUCACUUUGCCAAGAAAACCUCAAAUGGAGUCAAGAAGAGUUAGAUAUAGCUGAUUUGACUGAAAACACCAAAACACUUGAGAAGUUUGUAUCCACACCCCAACUUCUUUGCUUUUUUUUUUUUAUAGUUAGCAACAACUUCUGUGAAGAGAGACCUAGAAUGAGAAAAGAUAGGAGAGACGAAGAGGAGAGACUGAUAGAAAGAAAUAUAGAAAUGAAGGGAGAUAGGAGAGAGGAAAAGAAAAAUGAGGACAAACUGAGUCAGAUUUUGUGACAGAAGUUAGCAAGCGUUUCUGUGCUGAGAGACAGAAACCAAGAAAAAGAGAAUGAGAGAGGAGAGGAGAGAGACAGUGACAGGUAUAGAGACAGUGGGGAGUGGUGGGGGUGGGGGAAGAGAGGAAGAGAGAGAAGGAGAGAGGCAGAGAAAGAAGUUAGAGGGCUCCUGACGAAUAUUUUUUCAUUCAGAUAAAGCAUGUAGGGAAGUAGUUUAAACAUCUCAAUUCUGCUGUGGUGGGGUAUUCAGUUUUUCUCUAACAUUAAAUCUUUGCUAAUUAGUUGCCAAACCCCACACAAAGAAGGAGUAAAAACUGCCUUUGAAGUUAAAUUAGGCUCUAGAUAAGAAAGUAUAUGACAGUAUGUUUUCACCUACAAUCAGGAACAUCCAGCCUGGUAAAGAAAUUACUCCCUGGGCGUGGUAAGACUCUUUGGGAGGUGUGCUAAGAAAACAUUUCAGGCCUCUAGGGUACCCCUUAUUAAAUUCUUGUUCCAGUACACGAAA